GAUGAACGCUGGCGGCGUGCUCAACACAUGCAAGUCGAACGGAGUUUCUUGGAUAGAGGUUUCGGCCAAUUGAAAAGAAACUUAGUGGCGGACGGGUGAGUAACGCGUGAGGAACCUGCCUUGGAGUGGGGAAUAACACAGUGAAAAUUGUGCUAAUACCGCAUAAUGCAGUUGAGUCGCAUGGCUCUGACUGCCAAAGAUUUAUCGCUCUAAGAUGGCCUCGCGUCUGAUUAGCUAGUUGGUAGGGUAACGGCCUACCAAGGCGACGAUCAGUAGCCGGACUGAGAGGUUGGCCGGCCACAUUGGGACUGAGACACGGCCCAG
rnacentral:rRNA from 1 species